rnacentral:rRNA from 1 species
GCCAGAAACCAUAUCACCUUUAUCACAACUGGCAGCCCUCUGAAGCCAAGCAGGUGUGCGCCUGGCCAGUACGUGGAUGGGAGACCUCCUGGGAAAAUUGAGGUUGCUGCUGGAA